GUGCUGGCUUUGGCAGCACAUAGACUAAAAUUAGAAUGAUACAGAAAAGAUUAGCCUGGCCCCUAUGCAAGGAGGACAUGCAAAUUUGUGGAGUGUUCU
rnacentral:snRNA from 1 species